rnacentral:lncRNA from 1 species
AAAUUUUGAUGUGACUUGGCUAAUUUGUGUGCAUUUCCCUUUCUAGAUUCUACAGAUUAAGGUAGAACCUCACAAGGGACUUGUUGGGGAGGGGAGGUUUGGAAUUUUAGCAGUUUCUCCCUUGGUGGCAAACUCCAAAGAUUAUUAUCAGUAUUCAUCAUGACCUACUCUAUUGUCUCCAUGAAACUUCUGGUGUCUUAAGAAACCCAGGUUAUAUAUUGGUUUUCUUUUUAAAUGUCUGUUUUAUCCAUUAUCUCACUGUUAAUGGCCAUGGCAUCUCAGGUGUUUGAUUGCCAUUUUUCAGUGGGGACACAGAAACACGGCAGGACAAAUGACUUACUGUGCCACACAGUGGUCCUCCAGCUUUCAGCCCUGUACCCCCCUCCCUCAAAGCCACCCUCAUCUCCUGAAGCCUUGUAAUGGAAGUGAUCUGAAAGCUGCAUUCUCCAUAAUUGGAAAGUGGUUCACCAGAGGUAUUUCUUCACCACGCUCGUUCCUCGAUGUCAUCUGACACCAAAGGCCUCAUUAGGAGAAAACACUGAGUGUGGGUUUGACUAGGCUGCUGACAACAUCCGGCCACGUAUGGCAAAGUUACCCAGGCGGAUGCUUGUGAUGGGAGCGCUCUUGGUGGCAGAUGGGGCCUGAGUGGAGAUCUGUCAUGCUGACCCCUAGUGGCCGUGGGGUCCCCAGUGGGGAGCCACAGGCACCUCCGGGCUUCUGGACCCUCUCCAGCAGGGUUGCCUUCUGCCUUUCCCCAAACAAGCUUUUGUGCAGCCUGACACUCUGGGACUUUGCCUGGGUUUCAGGGCAAGGUUUAGGAGGAUCUGAAAUCUGGGCCAGUUCUUCCAGGGCCAAGAACUGCAGAGGGGGACCCCAGAGAGGAGCGUCGUUGUGCUGAGCCCCUCUGCAGGCCUGUCCUCUCCUUCACAGCACAGCAUGUGGGGCUCCUAUUUCUUGCCCUCCGUCUUGUCUCAGGCUGCCGCCAGCUUCAUCUCUUUUCCCUGAGCAACAGAUCAGUUCCAUGAUGGGAAGCUGCCCCCUGGGCUGGCCUCGUGGACUUGGGACCAGUGUAGUCACAGAGCACCCUGACAACAGAAGGGUCCUGCAAGGGCUGUCGUGCCUCAAAAUUCUUAAUGACUUUGGAACAAGGAGCCUCCCGUUUUCAUUUUGCACUGGGACCCACAAAUUGGGGUCCAUCCCAGGUUUCCUGGCAUGUGGGGCAGGAGAGCUAGGAGGAACUCUGGAGGCUGCUGUCUGGUUUGAUCCUCACAGUUUACAAAGAAGGACACAGGGUGUCUGGGUGGCUCAGUCAGUUAAGUGUCUGCCUUUGGUUCAGGUCAUGAUCCCAGGGUCCUGAGAUAGAGCUCCGCGUUGGGCUCCUGCUUAGCAAGGGUCUGCUUCCCCUCUCCCUCUGCCUGCCACUCUCUCUGCUUGAGGGCUCUCUCUCUCUAGAAUCAAUAAAUUUUAAAAAAAUCUUAAAAAAAGGUUGGACACAGUGGUCACUAGGGUGACUGGUCUGGAAUUAUCCAGAAAGUCAGAGGUGGGCUGCAGCUGGGGCCAGCUCUCUUCACCACUAGCUGGGCAUUCUUUCUCCUUGACCAUCACCAUCUUAAAACCACCUCCCGAGCAUGGGAGCAAGGCCAGCCUCAUAGCUGGGCAUGGCAGCUGUGGUGUCUUUUCUCAGGCAUGUUUUUCCUCCUUUGACAGAGGAAGGGAGGGUGAUAGCAACCUUUUGCCCUACCCAUGCUCUAGGAUUGCCUACAUGAAGCCCCCCUCAAAAGCUUGCUGAUAGCAACAGACAGUGAAGAGCUUGGUCUGAAGACAGGUGUUUCAACCAUGGCAUCAAAAAAAAUUUUUUUUUUGUCACAAUCAGAGGAAAGGAAUGUCACAAAUAGUUUAAUAUUACUAACAUUUGAAUUAUUGCUUGUGAAUGAUUUAUACCCGUACAACUACGUAUGUGCGUGUGAUUGACUUUCUGAGACUAUCCUCACUCGCUGGGACUAAUUAGGAUGUGCUUUCUGGUGUGGGAACUGUGUGUAAUUCGGAGUUUUCCUUUGGGAGGCUGUCCCACAUGCACUGCCAUCUACAUGUGAAGGCAAGUGGCUGAGAACUGAGGAUAUAUGAGGCAUUUGCUCCUCCAGAUUCUUCCAGAUUGAUAUUAAGCCAGAGCAGAAAAAAGCCACCUGUUUGUAUGACAUCACUCUAACCCCUUAGGUUGAAUUGUCUGUACAGAAUUAGAAUUUUACAGUGUGUCCAGCUUACAUGCUGAGAGCUAAUUCAAGAUACCUAUAGCACAAGGAGAACACCUUUGCACUUUACGUAGUGUUGCUGGCAAAGACCUGGUACAUAUGUCAUUUAAGAUCCUUGUGGCAAAUGUUUCCCCACAUGGGAAAGUCUGUCCCUCUGGUGACAUGGUGGGCACUGGGAGCUGUUUAACCCCUUGCAUUUCCUCCAUCCAUUGUUUGGCUGCUGGGAGGCACAGAUGCUCAGAAGGAGGUUUCCUUCUUCUCAACUGAUCACAUCUUUAGAUUUUGACAAAUGUAUCUCUGCUUUUCCUUUACAAAAUAAACAUGCAGAGAAGAGUAUAAGCACCUAUAUCCUCAAUUCUCACAAUUAACACCUGUAAGUAUUUUAUGGUCUUUGUUUUGGGUAAUUCCUUUUAAAGAA